rnacentral:rRNA from 1 species
AAAGCGUGCGCAGGCGGUUAUGUAAGACAGAUGUGAAAUCCCCGGGCUCAACCUGGGAACUGCAUUAGUGACUGCAUAGCUGGAGUACGGCAGAGGGGGAUGGAAUUCCGCGUGUAGCAGUGAAAUGCGUAGAUAUGCGGAGGAACACCGAUGGCGAAGUCAAUCCCCUGGGCCUGUACUGACGCUCAUGCACGAAAGCGUGGGGAGCAAACAGGAUUAGAUACCCCGGU